UAGCUAAUACCGGAUAACAACAGAUGAUGCCUAUCAACUGUUUUAAAAGAAUGGUUCUGCUAUCACUCUUGGAUGGACCUGCGGUGCAUUAGCUAGUUGGUAGGGUAACGGGCCUACCAAGGCGAUGAUGCAUAGCCGAGUUGAGAGACUGAUCGGCCACAUUGGGACUGAGACACGGCCCAAACUCCUACGGGAGGCAGCAGUU
rnacentral:rRNA from 1 species